rnacentral:rRNA from 1 species
GAUGAACGCUGGCGGCAUGCCUUACACAUGCAAGUCGAACGGCAGCACGGGAGCAAUCCUGGUGGCGAGUGGCGAACGGGUGAGUAAUGUAUCGGAACGUGCCCAGUCGUGGGGGAUAACGCAGCGAAAGCUGUGCUAAUACCGCAUACGAUCUAUGGAUGAAAGCGGGGGAUCGCAUGACCUCGCGCGAUUGGAGCGGCCGAUAUCAGAUUAGGUAGUUGGUGGGGUAAAGGCCCACCAAGCCUGCGAUCUGUAGCUGGUCUGAGAGGACGACCAGUCACACUGGAACUGGGACACGGUCCAGACUCCUACGGGAGGCAGCAGUGGGGAAUUUUGGACAAUGGGCGCAAGCCUGAUCCAGCAAUGCCGCGUGCAGGAUGAAGGCCUUCGGGUUGUAAACUGCUUUUGUACGGAGCGAAACGGCUCUCACUAAUACUGGGGGCUAAUGACGGUACCGUAAGAAUAAGCACCGGCUAACUACGUGCCAGCAGCCGCCGUAA